rnacentral:rRNA from 1 species
AGUCGAACGAGAACGGUCCUUCGGGAUGUCAGCUAAGUGGCGGACGGGUGAGUAAUGUAUAGUUGAUCUGCCCUUUAGUGGGGGAUAACAGUUAGAAAUGACUGCUAAUACCCCAUACUCCUUUUACCUUAGAGGGUAAUCGGGAAAGUUUUUUCGCUAAAGGAUGAGACUAUAUGGUAUCAGCUUGUUGGUGGGGUAAUGGCUCACCAAGGCAAUGACACCUAGCUGGUCUGAGAGGAUGAUCAGCCACACUGGAACUGAGACACGGUCCAGACUCCUACGGGAGGCAGCAGUGGGGAAUAUUGCACAAUGGAGGAAACUCUGAUGCAGCAACGCCGCGUGGAGGAUGACGCAUUUCGGUGUGUAAACUCCUUUUAUAGGGGAAGAUAAUGACGGUACCCUAUGAAUAAGCACCGGCUAACUCCGUGCCAGCAGCCGCGGUAAUACGGAGGGUGCAAGCGUUGCUCGGAAUCACUGGGCGUAAAGGACGCGUAGGCGGGAUGGUAAGUCAGAUGUGAAAUCCCACAGCUUAACUGUGGAACUGCAUUUGAAACUGCCAACCUAGAGUUUGGGAGAGGCAGAUGGAAUUGGUGGUGUAGGGGUAAAAUCCGUAGAGAUCACCAGGAAUACCGAUGGCGAAGGCGAUCUGCUGGAACAAUACUGACGCUGAGGCGUGAAAGCGUGGGGAGCAAACAGGAUUAGAUACCCUGGUAGCCCACGCCCUAAACGAUGAAUGCUAGUUGUUGGGGUGCUCGUCAUCCCAGUAAUGCAGCUAACGCAAUAAGCAUUCCGCCUGGGGAGUACGGUCGCAAGAUUAAAACUCAAAGGAAUAGACGGGGACCCGCACAAGCGGUGGAGCAUGUGGUUUAAUUCGAAGAUACGCGAAGAACCUUACCUGGGCUUGACAUCCCGAGAACCCUGCAGAGAUGCGGGGGUGCUACUUUUGUAGAGCUCGGUGACAGGUGCUGCACGGCUGUCGUCAGCUCGCGUCGUGAGAUGUUGGGUUAAGUCCCGCAACGAGCGCAACCCUCGUCCUUAGUUGCCAGCAGUUCGGCUGGGCACUCUAAGGAGACUGCCUUCGCAAGGAGGAGGAAGGUGAGGACGACGUCAAGUCAUCAUGGCCCUUACGGCCAGGGCUACACACGUGCUACAAUGGGGCGUACAGAGAGUAGCGAUACCGCGAGGUGGAGCCAAUCUCACAAAGCGUCUCUCAGUUCGGAUUGUUCUCUGCAACUCGAGAGCAUGAAGCUGGAAUCACUAGUAAUCGUAGAUCAGCUAAGCUACGGUGAAUACGUUCCCGGGUCUUGUACUCACCGCCCGUCACACCAUGGGAGUUGAUUUCACCCGAAAUCGGGAUGCCAA